GUUAUGGACAAAACUUCAUAUGUUAUUGAACCAAAAAUAAAAGUUGAAUGUGGAAAAAGAACAGAGCAUAUUGACUUCAAAGGAAGUGAAAUGCCCGUCACCGGAGAGAACAGUAGGUAAGACUGGGAUGUCUUGUUUGUAAUAAGUGUGUUGUUCACAUUAUGCCUUUUAACAUGUAUCCUAAAUCAACCCUUUAAUCUAGGAGUCUUUGAUCCUAGUUUCUCUCUAGAGCCUUCAAUACCAGGACUUCCCCCAAGUCAUUCUGUGUAAGUCGAUAUCAUGGCUCUGAGAAGGCAAUAAAUGAACAAUGCCACAUCCAGUAUUUAUAACAACAGGGAUUAUUGACUUAAUUACCUGACCCUUUUGAAAUAUCUGAAGAAGAAUUAUGACCUCUGGGACACCAGCAACAACCACCUAAUCUAUUUUUCAAGUUUUAGCAGCAAAGUCUCCAGCAGCCAUCCCUUUGUGAUCUGGCUUAUUGCAACCCCAGGUGUGGCACUGAGCGGGGUGUUCUGCCAUGGAAGGCAAAGUGCUGCUUCCAGGAGUUUUGAAUUUCCUUAAAAAGGUCAAGAAAUUCACUGGAGAGUUGGAAUGCUGCUUCUGGGUUGCUUUGUUCGUGGGCUGCUCUUGGACCAUGUUAAUUAAAUGGAC
ensembl:lncRNA